rnacentral:rRNA from 1 species
GGGCCCGCACAAGCGGUGGAGUAUGUGGUUUAAUUCGAUGCAACGCGAAGAACCUUACCAGGGUUUGACAUCCUGCGAAUCUCUUGGAAACGAGAGAGUGCCUUCGGGAACGCAGUGACAGGUGGUGCAUGGCUGUCGUCAGCUCGUGUCGUGAGAUGUUGGGUUAAGUCCCGCAACGAGCGCAACCCACGUCUUUAGUUGCCAGCAUUUAGUUGGGCACUCUAGAGAGACUGCCGGUGAUAAACCGGAGGAAGGUGUGGAUGACGUCAAGUCAUCAUGCCCCUUACGGGUUGGGCUACACACGUGCUACAAUGGUAGUGACAAUGGGUUAAAUCCCCAAAAACUAUCUCAGUUCGGAUUGUCGUCUGCAACUCGACGGCAUGAAGUCGGAAUCGCUAGUAAUCG